GGAGAGCUGGCCGAGUGGCUGAAGGCGCACGCCUGCUAAGCGUGUAUACAGUUUGAAGCUGUAUCUAGGGUUCAAAUCCCUAGCUCUCCGCCA
rnacentral:tRNA from 1 species